rnacentral:lncRNA from 1 species
UUAGUUAAGGGCAUACGAUACAGUUACAGGGAAGGUAAUGACGUUGCUAACGUAAAAUGUUAUUUUCUCGACGUCAAACUAUGACAUAUCGGGAAAAGAUGCAUUUUUCGACUGAUUUUUAUCAUUCAAACUGAUUUAAUUUGAAAACGAGUGCAUGGACCCCUAUUUUUUAAAACAGCAAUUUGUUUCAUUUUGCAAGGAGAUUAUGUGACCCAAAUUUUAUAAAACUGUAAAUAGCGCA